CUCAGCCCUAACACACAAAAUCAACCCAGAGUUGGUCUCAGAACUAUUCAAUUUGCAAGUCAGUACCAACCUUGGCUUUAACCUUCAACCCAACCUUCAAAACCCACCACGAAUCUCCACUUUCUUCAUCAUCAUCCUCGUCGUCGAGACUGGUUCCCAAGCCCGAUCCCUCCAAAAUCGGCUUCUUCCUCUCCUCUGGCGAUUCCUGGCUUCACGUCCUCAAACAGAUCGCCGAGGGCGAUCUCAAAUGCCCUCUCGAAUCCGAUUUCAUCAAACUCGUCUUCACCUUCGACAAACUCCAAACCUCCAAUUUUUACUUCUUCAAAAUCAGCCUCACCAAUCCCAAUCUAUUAACUCCCUUCUUCGACAAUUGCGUCCCUAAUCUCGAAAUCUCCGUGAAUGUUCCAUCUGAAAUGCACAACAUCGCCUCCAAAUCCAAUCGUCGCGACUACUUGUCUGGUGAUUAUUAGUUGUUUGAAUGUGAAUUUUGAUCUCAUUGACGUGUUGAGAACUUGAAAGCUCUGCUUAAGGUCGAGGCUCAAGUGUCGAAUCAGCAACAACAGUUGUUUUAUAAUGGGAAGGAGAUGAGGAAUGCUGAGAAAUUGAGUGGUCUUGGUGUGAAUGAUGUGAUGAUAGUUUCACAUGCUUCUUCUUUUAGAGUUUGGCGGGAUGUUCCUGUUCUAGUCAUUGUCAGCAUGCUGGCUUAUUUCUGUUUCUAGAGCAGCUUUUGGCUACGAAAAUGGGAUCAGGUGCAAUUGCCAUAUCCCUGCCAUUUUCCUGAUUGUUGGGUCUUCUUGCAUCCAUGACAUCAACGACUAUGGGAAGCUAAAGUUUUUAAGUUUUAUGUUUUGGUUGACCCUUUUGCCAGCAUGAGUUUUGCAUCUUUGAUACUAUACUGAUAUAUCUCUGCAAUUUAUGCUUAGUGAGGAGAAAAUUUGCCUAGCUGUAUGCAACUAUUCAGUUUGCGCUUGUCGUUCUCUUUGCUCACCUUUUCUAUUCACUG